rnacentral:rRNA from 1 species
GAUGAACGCUGGCGGCGUGCCUAAUACAUGCAAGUCGAGCGAACGGACGAGAAGCUUGCCUCUCUGAUGUUAGCGGCGGACGGGUGAGUAACACGUGGAUAACCUACCUAUAAGACUGGGAUAACUUCGGGAAACCGGAGCUAAUACCGGAUAAUAUUUUGAACCGCAUGGUUCAAAAGUGAAAGACGGUCUUGCUGUCACUUAUAGAUGGAUCCGCGCUGCAUUAGCUAGUUGGUAAGGUAACGGCUUACCAAGGCAACGAUGCAUAGCCGACCUGAGAGGGUGAUCGGCCACACUGGAACUGAGACACGGUCCAGACUCCUACGGGAGGCAGCAGUAGGGAAUCUUCCGCAAUGGGCGAAAGCCUGACGGAGCAACGCCGCGUGAGUGAUGAAGGUCUUCGGAUCGUAAAACUCUGUUAUUAGGGAAGAACAUAUGUGUAAGUAACUGUGCGCAUCUUGACGGUACCUAAUCAGAAAGCCACGGCUAACUACGUG